rnacentral:misc_RNA from 1 species
UUGUUACACAAUGAAAAUACGAGGAUAUUUAAUAAUUUUUGUCAAGAGUCAUUCUAUGAAUUACCCAAAAGACAUACAUACACAACUAUUUACACUUGAUGAAGAAAGCUCCACGUCCUAUCAUCACAAGAUCAAAGGGCACCAAGAGAACCCAUUUCUAAAAGAAGUUUUAGCUAGCACGAUCUUCGUUUUUCUCCUGGUAGAAACAGUAGCCUAUCUAAGGACCUAUGUUACAUGUUAUUUUCAUACCACACUGCAUAUAAAGGCACCUCUGUCAAACAUGUAUUUCACUAUACACAUGCCGUCCGCUUCUUGUUCUACCUGUCACUUCAUACCAGGAGAAUGGCCCAGAAGCUAGAGCAAAAGAUAUAUAUACCUAGUUGUCACACAAAAUGUCAAAAGACCACACCUUCGUAACUCAGUUGCCAACCUUCUUUUUCCGGAAUUCAGAGGGACUGGUCUUUGCUUGUGAUCUCCAGGUUUUCAAGGCAUUCAUGCAAGGCCUGGUAGAAUUUACUCUCAAGAUAAAUCCAUAUGCAACUACAAUCUCGAGCGACGAAUGCAUUUGAUACCUUUGACAGGUGAGUGCAUUCUGGCAGAAGCAAUUGGAUGUCCAUUCAGAGAACCUGAAAAUCUAAUAUCCCAGCCUUCAACAUUCUUGGGGACACAAACAUCAAAGAGCAAUUGCCCCAGAACACUAUUUGCAUUGAUGCUAGGGGAAGGUGGUAGAUAAAUAGUUGUUACUUUUCUUCCAUCCUGUAAAGGCUCUGACUCUCUAUUAUUGUGAUAUUCGGUUGAAGUUGGCACAAAGAAAUGAUCACCUGGUUCAACGGCAACCCUUCUUAAGCUUUGGUUUGAGUAAACUGCUGCUUUCUGGAGGUUGCAGAUUAAUUCAGAAAUCUCAUCAUGCAUACCAUCCAGGCCAUUUCCUGCUCUAAGUUGCUGGAUUCUUCGAGAAUAAACUGAAGCUGCCUUCUCAAGCAAAUUGGUCACAGCAGCCCUGUAUUGGAUAGGAUAAUGCUUGUAAUGACCUGAAAUAUCACAGGAUGAUUAGUUCAGUUUCAGAAUGUCAAAGCCAAGUAAACAUUUAGAAGUCAAAAAGAAACUAAAAUUUAUAUUUAAGAAUCCAUUUGUUUCACAGAAAAUGUUUUCAUUUUCCAUAUUUUUUUAUUGUUUAGGGUGCUCAAGAAAAUUUGUCAAUUUAAAAAUGUUUUACUAGUCAAAAGGAAACUUAAGCCAAUUUUAAAGAAAAUAAUUUCUUAGUCAAAAGAGGAAAUGAUUUUCUGAACUUUGAUACACUUAUUAUAAAUGAAUGACAUAAAUACAUAUUCAUUAGUUUUACCAACUACCACAAAUCACCCUUGACCACCGGCAGCCACCACUGGUGAUCGGCAAUUGAUAGUGGCCACCAUAAUUUACCAUUUUCAAGUAUUUUUUUCUUGCAUUCAACAGUAAAAUAGUAAAAAAAAAAUGAACUCAUUAUAGUCUCAACAAUUUUAUAGUAUUAUACAUUAAAAGAAAAUAUUUAAUGCCCAAAAAAUAGAAAAUAAUUUCCCUUUGUUUUUUAGCAUUGCAAUCAAAUAAUGGAAAAUAAGUUAUUUUCUCAUCAAAAUGUUUUUCUUGGAAAAUAUUUUCUAUAAACAAGUUAUUUUUCACAAAACAAAUGUUGAGAACAGUAAAUUUGGAGAAA